CACACGACUCUCGGCAACGGAUAUCUAGGCUCUCGCAUCGAUGAAGAACGUAGCAAACUGCGAUACUUGGUGUGAAUUGCAGAAUCCCGUGAACCAUCGAGUCUUUGAACGCAAGUUGCGCCCGAAGCCGUUAGGCCGAGGGCACGUCUGCCUGGGCGUCACGCAUC
rnacentral:rRNA from 1 species